rfam:Oryctolagus cuniculus cont2.27633, whole genome shotgun sequence.
CUCACCUCCCCAUAAGCAGGGACCCUCCAUGGCUGACAAAGACAAGCAGCUUCCUGAGUGGCCUGUCUGAAGACCCCUCAGCACGGCUAAAUGAUGUCUC